ACUCCUACGGGAGGCAGCAGUAGGGAAUCUUCCACAAUGGACGCAAGUCUGAUGGAGCAACGCCGCGUGAGUGAAGAAGGGUUUCGGCUCGUAAAGCUCUGUUGUUAAAGAAGAACGUGGGUGAAAGUAACUGUUCACCCAGUGACGGUAUUUAACCAGAAAGCCACGGCUAACUACGUGCCAGCAGCCGCGGUAAUACGUAGGUGGCAAGCGUUAUCCGGAUUUAUUGGGCGUAAAGCGAGCGCAGGCGGUCUUUUAGGUCUAAUGUGAAAGCCUUCGGCUCAACCGAAGAAGUGCAUUGGAAACUGGGAGACUUGAGUGCAGAAGAGGACAGUGGAACUCCAUGUGUAGCGGUGAAAUGCGUAGAUAUAUGGAAGAACACCAGUGGCGAAGGCGGCUGUCUGGUCUGUAACUGACGCUGAGGCUCGAAAGCAUGGGUAGCGAACAGGAUUAGAUACCCUGGUAGGAUAGCG
rnacentral:rRNA from 1 species